UUUAAAAAUUAUUUUUAGUGCUCGCUAAAAUUGGAAUGAUACAGAGAAGAAUAACAUGGCCCCUGCACAAGGAUGACAUGAAAAUUUGAGAAGCGGUCCAUAUUUUU